rnacentral:rRNA from 1 species
GACGAACGCUGGCGGCGUGCUUAACACAUGCAAGUCGAACGGAAAGGCCCUGCUUUUGUGGGGUGCUCGAGUGGCGAACGGGUGAGUAACACGUGAGUAACCUGCCCUUGACUUUGGGAUAACUUCAGGAAACUGGGGCUAAUACCGGAUAGGAGCUCCUGCUGCAUGGUGGGGGUUGGAAAGUUUCGGCGGUUGGGGAUGGACUCGCGGAUUAUCAGCUUGUUGGUGGGGUAGUGGCUUACCAAGGCUUUGACGGGUAGCCGGCCUGAGAGGGUGACCGGCCACAUUGGGACUGAGAUACGGCCCAGACUCCUGCGGGAGGCAGCAGUGGGGAAUAUUGCGCAAUGGGCGGAAGCCUGAUGCAGCAACGCCGCGUGCGGGAUGACGGCCUUCGGGUUGUAAACCGCUUUCGCCUGUGACGAAGCGUGAGUGACGGUAAUGGGUAAAGAAGCACCGGCUAACUACGUG